rnacentral:rRNA from 1 species
CCUACGGGCGGCAGCAGUGGGGAAUAUUGGACAAUGGGCGAAAGCCUGAUCCAGCCAUGCCGCGUGUGUGAAGAAGGCCUUCGGGUUGUAAAGCACUUUCAGUGGGGAAGAAAGCCUUGGGGCUAAUACCCUCGAGGAAGGACAUCACCCACAGAAGAAGCACCGGCUAACUCCGUGCCAGCAGCCGCGGUAAUACGCGAGGGUGCGAGCGUUAAUCGGAAUUACUGGGCGUAAAGCGCGCGUAGGCGGUCUGAUAAGCCGGUUGUGAAAGCCCCGGGCUCAACCUGGGAACGGCAUCCGGAACUGUCAGGCUAGAGUGCAGGAGAGGAAGGUAGAAUUCCCGGUGUAGCGGUGAAAUGCGUAGAGAUCGGGAGGAAUACCAGUGGCGAAGGCGGCCUUCUGGACUGACACUGACGCUGAGGUGCGAAAGCGUGGGUAGCAAACAGGAUUAGAUACCCUAGUAGUC